AUUGAACGCUGGCGGCAGGCCUAACACAUGCAAGUCGAGCGGCAGCGGGAAAGUAGCUUGCUACUUUUGCCGGCGAGCGGCGGACGGGUGAGUAAUGCCUGGGAAAUUGCCCAGUCGAGGGGGAUAACAGUUGGAAACGACUGCUAAUACCGCAUACGCCCUACGGGGGAAAGCAGGGGACCUUCGGGCCUUGCGCGAUUGGAUAUGCCCAGGUGGGAUUGGCUAGUUGGUGAGGUAAUGGCUAACCAAGGCGACGAUCCCUAGCUGGUCUGAGAGGAUGAUCAGCCACACUGGAACUGAGACACGGUCCAGACUCCUACGGGAGGCAGCAGUGGGGAAUAUUGCACAAUGGGGGAAACCCUGAUGCAGCCAUGCCGCGUGUGUGAAGAAGGCCUUCGGGUUGUAAAGCACUUUCAGCGAGGAGGAAAGGUUGGUGCCUAAUACGUAUCAACUGUGACGUUACUCGCAGAAGAAGCACCGGCUAACUUCGUGCCAGCAGCCGCGGUAACAC
rnacentral:rRNA from 1 species